rnacentral:lncRNA from 1 species
GGGGGCGGGGCCGGAGAGCGGGCCGCGCCGGGUAAACACCGGGUGGGAGGUGCGGGCGGGGACCGUGAGCCCUUUACCGGGCGGUGCGGCCUGGCCCGGCCUGAGCGGCCUUCCGCCGCCUGCAGACCCGGAGGGGCCGCAGUGCCCGGCCCUGCGAUCCCGGUGUGGCCGCGCGGAGCCCAAAGCCACGCGGGCCCGAGGCGAGGAGACCUCUGCUGGCCCGGGGACCCGCAAAGACACCCCGCUCUGCCCCAGCCACCCAGUGACGGUGUCCACUUGAAGCUUCCUUCUACCUCCAAAGUCCAGUGCCUAAGGAAAGUAACUGAGAAGGUCUGCAAUUCAGAAAGCACUCAUUCGUUAACCACUUGUCGAUUCUCCUGCGAUGGUGCCGGGAUGAGAUUUGAGUAAUACAGACCAGAAAGAAUAAUAAAGGCCAGCACGUCAUUCAAGAAGCACUCUGGGUUUCGCUGUUCAUACCUGAAGAUGCAGCAGUGUCAGCUGAACUCCCAGUUGUUCUUUAAAGAGUGCAAAAAGUGCACCGGGAUCUUGGCGAGACUUUAAUAACAACCGCCCUCGUCCUCCACGUACAGAGUGUGCCUUUGUUCAGUCUACAGUGUUGCUGCUGCGUGUCUCUGAAACUAUUUUCCAUAGAUUCGCCUUGUAAUCUUUCUAAAACCAAAACAAGGACAGACUGCAGAAAGGAAACCAUGCCCUGAUGUGCCUAUGAGCUUAUCUUCCGGAUCGAACUCAGACCUUGCCCUUGUGAGACAGGUGCGGUGCCACUGAGCUAAAUCACCUGCAGUAUUUCAUUGUUUAAAUCUAUUAGCCCUGUGUGGUGGUGCACACCUGUAACCCCAGAACUCGAGAGGCUGAGGCAGGAGGGUCACCUCCAGUUUGAGGCCAGCCUGGGCUACAUAAUGAGUUCAAGGACAGCCGAGACAACAUACCAAGACCCUAUCCCAAUAGUAAAUAAAUAAUAAAUAAGUAAAAUCCAUGAUUGCUGCUGUCAGGAUGGAUGAAAGUUUAAAUGAAAUGAUGUAUCUUAGCACGCUCUCCUCGGGGCAUAGCCUCCUCUUUGUAGUGUGUCCUUGAUUUGGCUUCAGGAAAAGAUCACAAGGGGAAUGGAUGGGAAAUAUCUGAGAAGCAGCAGCUAAGAUAGCGCCAGGAGCAAACCUGGCAACUGGUACAGCAG